rnacentral:tRNA from 1 species
ACUCUCUUAGUAUUAUUAGUACAAUUGACUUCCAAUCAAUCAGUCUCAGUAAAACCUGAGAGAGAGUA